rnacentral:hammerhead_ribozyme from 1 species
AGCAUCUGACGAGUCCCAAAUAGGACGAAACACAGGUCCUGGAU